AACCAGUGAUGUGAUGAUUCUGCCAAAUGAUACAUAGUGAUAUCACCUUUAAAACCGUUCCAUUUUAUUUCUGAGGUU
ensembl:snoRNA Snord47 small nucleolar RNA SNORD47